rnacentral:piRNA from 1 species
UAUAAUGAACAAUUUCAGGGACCCAAG